CAGUCCAGGUGGUCGCCUUCGCCACUGAGUGUUCCUUCCUAUAUCUACGCAUUUCACCGCUACACAGGAAAUUCCACCACCCUCUACCGUACUCUAGCUUGCCAGUUUUGGAUGCAGUUCCCAGGUUGAGCCCGGGGCUUUCACAUCCAACUUAACAAACCACCUACGCGCGCUUUACGCCCAGUAAUUCCGAUUAACGCUUGCACCCUCUGUAUUACCGCGGCUGCUGGCACAGAGUUAGCCGGUGCUUAUUCUGUCGGUAACGUCAAAACAGCAAGGUAUUAACUUACUGCCCUUCCUCCCAACUUAAAGUGCUUUACAAUCCGAAGACCUUCUUCACACACGCGGCAUGGCUGGAUCAGGCUUUCGCCCAUUGUCCAAUAUUCCCCACUGCUGCCUCCCGUAGGAGUCUGGACCGUGUCUCAGUUCCAGUGUGACUGAUCAUCCUCUCAGACCAGUUACGGAUCGUCGCCUUGGUGAGCCAUUACCCCACCAACUAGCUAAUCCGACCUAGGCUCAUCUGAUAGCGCAAGGCCCGAAGGUCCCCUGCUUUCUCCCGUAGGACGUAUGCGGUAUUAGCGUUCCUUUCGAAACGUUGUCCCCCACUACCAGGCAGAUUCCUAGGCAUUACUCACCCGUCCGCCGCUGAAUCAAGGAGCAAGCUCCCGUCAUCCGCUCGACUUGCAUGUGUUAGGCCUGCCGCCAGCG
rnacentral:rRNA from 1 species